GUAAAGGGUUCUAUAAAGCAUAGUUAAUAAUGGAAGGGGCAAAUAUCUUCAGCCUUAAUGUACUUGCAUGUUUUGACCCUUUAUAAAUCUCCAUUCUUCAUCUCAGUUGUGGAACACAUUCAGAAUCCCAGAAAGAAUAUUCAUUUUUGUUCAGAUUGCAGCAUCAAAACUACCAGUAAAGAAUAACUGUUGAUGGGAAAAGAACAAAACUUCAGAAGUGCAGGACUAGCCAGCAGAACAGUACUGAGAAAAUGCUGCACUGCUAGAGGUGAUAUUGUUCUGUCAAGUCUUACUCAAAAGGGUUUUCUCCCUUGAGUGUGCCAAGCAUAAUAAAGAUAACUCUACUUCAUUGGCUAUGGAGUACUUUGGACUUUCUACAAUGAAAGCAGCAUUGCAAAGUGUGAGUUAGUACUGUGCGAAGAUAUCAAUAAGAUAUGAGGAUGCUGCCAAGGCUGUUGAGUUUCAUAGAACAUAGAAAAGU